AAAAAAAAAGCCCUCUGCGGGGGCGGCGGCGCCUCCGUCACCGGCGGAUGCGUUCUCACGAAUCCUUCGGCAAACUGGUAAUUGCUCCGCUUCCUUCCUUCCUUCCCGUCCAGGCACCGCCGGGGAUCUCCUCCCUCCUUCCCACCGGCUAGAUUUGCAAGACCAAUGUAUGAUAUGUUUGGGAUCGGAUUGAAGCUUUGGUCCAGCAAGAUGGUGUGAGGCUUUGGUCGUCAUGAUGCUCGAAUCUGAUGAUGGUUCUGGACUCCUGGUAGACAGAGGUGAUAACCUCCAGAGUUCAGAUAGCCAUGGUAAAUUGGGUCGUCGUUUGAUUUUGAGAUUUACAGAGUACUGGCUCACUCAGUUCAAUUGAAUGGAAUGGGAUGAAAUGAGCAUACAACAUUAUGAGUUUACGGACCUCCGUCGAGCUGUCCAGUGAGAGUCACUAGUGGACUACACCCUAAAAUUUAUUUGGGGGAGAUAAAUCACGGCAAUGAAGGAUAAGGGAUCCAAAUGGUAUUGGAACAUUUGAGACGACCUUGCAGUCCACUGGAAGCACAUACAUGUAUGUACGAGCACUCACCAAAUACAUGAACUGGCUUUGGUUGCUAAAGCAAGAGAUUGGGCCAACAAUAAAAUCGUC